rnacentral:tRNA from 1 species
GGCAGCGUGGCUUAGUGGAAAGAGCACGGGUUUGGGAGUCACAGGUCAUGGGUUCUAACCCCGGCUCUGCCA